UACGUAGGGUGCGAGCGUUGUCCGGAAUUAUUGGGCGUAAAGAGCUCGUAGGCGGUCUGUCGCGUCGGUCGUGAAAACUUGGGGCUUAACCCUGAGCUUGCGGUCGAUACGGGCAUGACUGGAGUUCGGCAGGGGAGACUGGAAUUCCUGGUGUAGCGGUGAAAUGCGCAGAUAUCAGGAGGAACACCGGUGGCGAAGGCGGCAUCCUGGACCGACACUGACGCUGAGGAGCGAAAGCCAGGGGAGCAAACGGG
rnacentral:rRNA from 1 species